GAUGAACGCUGGCGGCGUGCCUAAUACAUGCAAGUCGAGCGAAUGGAUUAAGAGCUUGCUCUUAUGAAGUUAGCGGCGGACGGGUGAGUAACACGUGGGUAACCUGCCCAUAAGACUGGGAUAACUCCGGGAAACCGGGGCUAAUACCGGAUAACAUUUUGAACCGCAUGGUUCGAAAUUGAAAGGCGGCUUCGGCUGUCACUUAUGGAUGGACCCGCGUCGCAUUAGCUAGUUGGUGAGGUAACGGCUCACCAAGGCAACGAUGCGUAGCCGACCUGAAGGGGGGAUCGGCCACACGGGGACUGAGACACGGCCCAGACUCCUACGGGAGGCAGCAGUAGGGAAUCUUCCGCAAUGGACGAAAGUCUGACGGAGCAACGCCGCGUGAGUGAUGAAGGCUUUCGGGUCGUAAAACUCUGUUGUUAGGGAAGAACAAGUGCUAGUUGAAUAAGCUGACACCUUGACGGUACCUAACCAGAAAGCCACGGCUAACUACGUGCCAGCAGCCGCCGUAA
rnacentral:rRNA from 1 species